rnacentral:rRNA from 1 species
CACGGGGGGAGCAAGCGUUGUUCGGAAUCACUGGGCGUAAAGGGCGUGUAGGCGGUCAGGUAAGUGGGAUGUGAAAUCCCUCGGCUCACCCGAGGACCGGCAUCCCAAACUGCCUGGCUUGAGUAUGGGAGAGGAUGAGGGAAUUCCUGGUGUAGCGGUGAAAUGCGUAGAUAUCAGGAGGAACACCGGUGGCGAAGGCGGCGCACUGGACCACAUCUGACGCUGAGGCGCGAAAGCUAGGGGAGCAAACAGG